GACACUGUAGCUCAGUGGUAGAGUGUUUGUCUAGCAUGCAUGGUGCUCUUGGUUCAAUCCCCAGCAUUGCCA
rnacentral:tRNA from 1 species